CAUCGAUUAGUCGAAUGGUAAGACGCCCGCCCGUGAAGUGGGAAACGUUGGUUCGAAUCCAACAUUGAUGACGA
rnacentral:tRNA from 1 species